AUGGGGAGGUCUCCGUGCUGCUGCCACGACGCCGGCGUGAAGAAAGGGCCGUGGACGGAGGAGGAGGACAAGACUUUGGUGGAGCACAUCCAGAAGCGCGGCGGGAACGUCGGCAGCUGGCGCGGCCUUCCCAAAGCCGCCGGGCUGAACCGCUGCGGCAAGAGCUGCCGCCUCCGGUGGACCAACUACCUCCGCUCCGACAUCAAGCGCGGCAACUUCUCCGAGGAGGAGGAGCGCCUCAUCAUCACCCUCCACGCCGGCCUUGGCAACAAGUGGUCGACGAUCGCGACGCACCUGGACGGCCGGACGGACAACGAGACCAAGAACUACUGGAACACGCACAUCCGCAAGAAGCUCCUGCGCAUGGGCGUCGACCCUGUCACGCACCAGCAGCUGCCACCCGACCAGACCAACCACCACGUCAACGGUGCCGCCGCCGCGCUCCUCCCCGAGGCGCUCCUCUGGGCGGCGGCGGCCACGAGCCUCGGCGGCCUGGGCACCGGCGCCCUCAUGCAGGCGCAGCUUCUGCAGCAGCUGUUCAAGGCCAUCGGCUCUAACAACAGUACCACCGGCCUCAUAGCCAACCUGGCUGCAGCAAACACAGUGCUGAACUCAUGCAGCAGCAUCGUUUCGAACCAGAUGAACUACCUACAGCCGGGUUACCUCUGCAACAUCUCCAAUUUUGUAGAGCAGCACGUGGUGCAGCAGCAGCUGACCUAUGAUACGUCUCCGGGGACAAGCUCCUUUGCAGCAGCUGAACCGGCUGAUCAGCUCUGCAACACUGCCGCUUCAUAUGAUGUUGCACCUGCGGGUGACUGGUCGCCAGCGCAGGAGUUCGGCGGCUUGCUGGAGCCAAUGAUGGAGCUGCCCGGGCUGUGCUCUCUCGAUGGUGACUCUUUCUGGAAGGACAUAUUGGAAGAGAGCUACCGUUUAUAG
rnacentral:rRNA from 1 species